UACGGAAGGCAGCAGUGGGGAAUAUUGCACAAUGGGCGCAAGCCUGAUGCAGCCAUGCCGCGUGUAUGAAGAAGGCCUUCGGGUUGUAAAGUACUUUCAGUCGUGAGGAAGGUGUUAAGGUUAAUAACCUUAGCAAUUGACGUUAGCGACAGAAGAAGCACCGGCUAACUCCGUGCCAGCAGCCGCGGUAAUACGGAGGGUGCGAGCGUUAAUCGGAAUUACUGGGCGUAAAGGGCACGCAGGCGGUUAAUUAAGUUGGAUGUGAAAUCCCCGGGCUUAACCUGGGAAUGGCAUUCAAGACUGGUUAGCUAGAGUCUUGUAGAGGGGGUAGAAUUCCAUGUGUAGCGGUGAAAUGCGUAGAGAUGUGGAGGAAUACCGGUGGCGAAGGCGGCCCCUGGGACAAAGACUGGACGCUCAUGUGCGAAAGCGUGGGGAGCAAACAGGGAUUAGAUACC
rnacentral:rRNA from 1 species